AUUGAACGCUGGCGGCAUGCCUUACACAUGCAAGUCGAACGGUAACGCGGGGCAACCUGGCGACGAGUGGCGAACGGGUGAGUAAUGUAUCGGAACGUGCCCAGUUGUGGGGGAUAACUGCUCGAAAGAGCAGCUAAUACCGCAUACGACCUGAGGGUGAAAGCGGGGGAUCGCAAGACCUCGCGCAAUUGGAGCGGCCGAUAUCAGAUUAGGUAGUUGGUGGGGUAAAGGCUCACCAAGCCAACGAUCUGUAGCUGGUCUGAGAGGACGACCAGCCACACUGGGACUGAGACACGGCCAAGACUCCUACGGGAGGCAGCAGUGGGGAAUUUUGGACAAUGGACGCAAGUCUGAUCCAGCCAUGCCGCGUGCGGGAAGAAGGCCUUCGGGUUGUAAACCGCUUUUGUCAGGGAAGAAGCGCUCUGGGUUAAUACCUCGGGGUAAUGACGGUACCUGAAGAAUAAGCACCGGCUAACUACGUGCCAGCCGCCGCCGUAACAC
rnacentral:rRNA from 1 species